UUAAUUUAUAGGCCCUAUAGGAAGUUGGUUUCCACAAAUGAUAUACUGGGGAUAAGAAGAAGCUCCUCCCUCAGAUUCUAGUAAGUUUAUAAGGCUAGAAUUACUCAGCUUGCCUUAAUAGCACUAAACUUCAUUUACAUCUGCUACACUGAACUGUUUAGGGUCAUUUGCAAAACCAAAUUUGUAAUUGGCAUCUUCCUGUAAUCUGCCUGUGUAGCAUAGCUGCAGAGAAGGAAUUGGAGUCAUCUCCUUAAUUCUUGCUUCAGUAGAUCCAUACCAAUCAAAAGCAUCGCAUCCUUUCAAUCUUACUAGCAUAGUCAAGCUUGUUUCUUAGACUUGUGGAAUAGCUACACUUUCACAUGAAAAAGGUCAAUCUUUAAUUAUUUUAUGGAGCAUAAGUUUCAAAUGAACUAAAGCAACAUUAUCUACACAUUUGAGCUACCUCAGAUGUUGAACCAGCUGCCUGGCUACGUAGACAUUAUGAAUUCUUCCACACUAAAUCGUAGUUGCAAGCACAGAGUCUAGUUCUUUCUGAUAGCUGGUGAAUUUGUGACCUCCCUGGAAUAGCUGGAGCUGUAAACCCUUGAAUGGAUAAAUGAUGCAUAACGGUAGCUUCUUCAUCUGUGACAGAUGCAAUAAUAGCCUGGGCACAUUUUUCAGGGAAAGGAAACUCAAGAAAGGGAUUUGGACAGAUUUAGACAAAGUCUUGGCUGCUAUGGAAAUUUCGAUGUGAAAAAG